rnacentral:rRNA from 1 species
AACGAACGCUGGCGGCAGGCUUAACACAUGCAAUUCGAACGCAUCGCAAGAUGAGUGGCAGACGGGUGAGUAACGCGUGGGAACAUACUCUUUUCUACGGAAUCGAUCUGGGAAACUGGAAUUAAUAUCGUAUACGCCCUACGGGGGAAAGAUUUAUCGGGGAAGGAUUGGCCAGCGUUGGAGGAGCUAGUUAGUGGGGUAAAGUCCUACCAAGGCGACGAUCCAUAGCUGGUCUGAGAGGAUGAUCAGCCACAUUGGGACUGAGACACGGCCCAAACACCUACGGGAGGCAGCAGUGGGGAAUAUGGGACAAUGGGCGCAAGCCUGAUCCAGACAUGCCGCGUGAGUGAUGAAGGCCUUAGGGUUGUAAAGCUCUUUCACCGAUGAAGAUAAUGACAGUAGUCGGAGAAGAAGCCCCGGCUAACUUCGUGCCAGCCGCCGCUGUAACAC